CUGGUGGCCCCGGAGGGGUCCUCCCCCUUCCCCUAGAUGAUACUUACUUAGCACCAAGUUCUGGUUUCGCUGUUUUUCGUUCAGAGUGUUCAACCCAAAUGAUGUCGGCCGGGACGGGGAAGCCGGGAUUACUUGUGUCUUACCCCUACUCACGGUUACUUCUCACCUGAGUGAAAGAGCUCACUCACUCGUGCGGACACCGUGCACAUCCCCAUAGGACUGACUGCGGGUACUUACGGGAAGGGAGACGGGGGUAGAGUCAUGUAUUAGGGUGGGGACUCCCCAUUGGACGGACAUCUCUUCCCAUACGGUCAAGGCCCUU